UAGUCCACGCAGUAAACGAUGAGUGCUAGAUAUUAGACCCUUGAGGUUUGGUAUCGCAGCUAACGCGUUAAGCACUCCGCCUGGGAAGUACGGUCGCAAGAUUAAAACUCAAACGGAAUUGACGGGGACCCGCACAAGCGGUGGAACACGUGGUUUAAUUCGAUGUUACGCGAAAAACCUUACCAGGCCUUGACAUGAUAGUCGUACUUCUAGGAAACUAGUUGGUCAGUUCGGCUGGACUAUCACAGGUGUUGCAUGGCUGUCGUCAGCUCGUGUCGUGAGAUGUUGGGUUAAGUCCCGCAACGAGCGCAACCCUUGUCUUUAGUUGCCAUCAUUUAGUUGGGCACUCUAGAGAAACUGCCGGUGACAAACCGGAGGAAGGUAAGGAUGACGUCAAGUCAGCAUGCCCUUACGCUCUGGGCUACACACGUGCUACAAUGGUCGUGACAAAGAGUUGCUAGUCUGCGAAGGCAAGCCAAUCUCNUAAACGCGGCCUUAGUUCGGAUUGCAGG
rnacentral:rRNA from 1 species